GAUGAAGAACGUAGCGAAAUGCGAUACGUAAUGUGAAUUGCAGAAUUCAGUGAAUCAUCGAAUCUUUGAACGCAUAUUGCGCUCUCUGGUAUUCCGGAGAGCAUGCUUGUUUGAGUAUCAGUAAACACCUCAACUCCCCUUUCUUUUUUUGAAAUGGGAGCUGGACUUGAGUGAUCCCAACGCUUUUCCUCACCGAAAAGUGGCGGGUUACUUGAAAUGCAGGUGCAGCUGGACUUUUCUCUGAGCUAUAAGCAUAUCUAUUUAGUCUGCCUAAAAAACAGAUUAUUACCUUUGCUGCAGCUAACAUAAAGGAGAUUAGUUCUUGUGCUGACUGAUGCAGGAUUCACAAAGACGGCUUCGGCCGACUUUGUAAACUCGAUCUCAAAUCAAGUAAGACUACCCGCUGAACUUAAGCAUAUCAAUAAGCGGAGGA
rnacentral:misc_RNA from 1 species